AUAGGGUCAUUUUUAUAUUAUGAAGAAGAAAAGCAGCUGUUGUAUUACAUUCACUGUAUUGGUCCUGCUUGUGUUUCAGGGCAAGAUCCUUGUUGGGACAAGGAAUGCUGAAAUAAUCGAAGUUGGAGAGAAAAAUGCAGCUUGUAAUAUUUUAGUUAACGGUCAUGUGGAUGGGCCAAUCUGGGGACUAGCAACACAUCCUUCCAGGGAUUUUUUCCUUUCUGCUGCAGAAGAUGGGACAGUGAGACUUUGGGAUAUUGCUGAUAAAAAGAUGUUAAACAAAGUGAAUUUGGGGCAUGCUGCUCGUACUGUGUGUUAUAGCCCUGAAGGGGACAUGGUGGCUAUUGGAAUGAAAAAUGGAGAAUUUAUCAUUUUACUAGUGAGUUCUCUAAAAAUAUGGGGAAAGAAGAGAGACAGGAGAUGUGCAAUCCAUGAUAUCAGGUUAGUGAACAAAUGGAAUAGAGUUUCUAGUAUAUACUUGAUUUAACUUCCAUUUGUAAAAUUUUCCAUAGCCUUGCCUUCAAAAAGAGGUCCCCAGGGCCUGUAGCAUUUCCCAUAUUAUAAAUUGUAUGCUAAAAUAUGGCUGUUUGUAUACUACUUAAUUCUUCUUGCUAAAUUAUAAACCCACUGGGCACCAACUAUAAUAGCAAGUACUAGUAGGUAAUGUUUGAUGAAUUCAUGUUAACACUUAGCCAUGUCCAUUA
rnacentral:lncRNA from 1 species